AUUGUGGACAAGACUGUUCUAAACUGAACUAGAUUGAUUGUGACAUGAAAGCAACUGCAAUGCAAAUUAAGUAUGAGGAAACAAUUUAAAUUUUACCUUAGUCAUAAAAGCCAUUGAACCAUCAAUUUUGAAAACAUAAUGGAUGAAGUGUAAAAGUUGCGGAGUGGCAAGAUGAGCAGAGAUGUCAGCAGAUGAGCAAAAAAAUAAAGAUUUUCAAGUGUUCAUCAAAGUGUUAGUUUGCAAAGAAUGAGUAAAAUAUGUAAGUUAAUAAUGUCAAAUCAAAUCACUUUUAUUGUCACAUCACAUUACUGGUACACUGGUACAACACAUGUAAGUGAGAUUCUUCUGUGCAAGCUUCACAAGUAACAGUAGUGUGCAAAAAUACAAGAAAUGUAAGAAACAAGCCAAAUAUAAGAGCAGGAAUGUGAGAAUAAUGAGUGAUAUUGACCUGAGGAGUACCAACCAAAAUAACAAAGCAAUUUCACAGUUGUUGAAAAGUAUGUAUUCAAUUCAGCAUCUAUCCCAGCUAUCACAGUAUGGGAGGGCAGGUCGCCAAUCUGUCACAGGAGCAGAUUACUUUAGACAAUUUUAAAAAAUGUCAAAACAGUCUAUCUCAUUGGAAGCAAAACAUAAAGAAAUGAAGGGUGAUUUAAUACUUUUUGCACAACUUUUUUUGCACAAAAUUUCUGUUAACCCCUGAUCAACUUAUUGAAUCUUUUGAAUUUUGGGUCAUGACAUAUGUUCAACAUCCUCCUGCAAAUAUUUCUUCUGUGGCCCCAUUAGCAAUUGAUUCUCAGUUAAAAUAAGCUUAGUUUAGCUGUAAUGCACAAAUUAUUUAGUUAACUGUGUGAAGAAAGAUUGGUUAAUAAAAAGCAGCAGAAAACUUUUAUAUUUAUCGCACAGAAGAUAGUGAAAUGACAAACCGCUGGAGAAUCACGAACUACAGCUCAGAGGGCAGAGGUAUCAUGUCGGAGCUCUGCCAGUUUCUAAAGAUGUUUGUACCGGGUGGGACGAGAAAGGCUACAGAGGAAGAGAGCAGCAGCAGGAGCCCCACUCUACCAAAGAAACACUUCACACUGCAAAGCCUUUUUUUGGAGAACUUAUUUUCUCAAGACUUUAAUAGUUUUAAGACUUUGGCACUGCUUCUGUGAACUGCGUUGGACAUUUGUCAUGGCUGUGGACUGGAUGUUGAACCAGGCACAUCUAUUGUAGAGCUAACUGUAAAUUGGUGCAAAAUGAACUAAGGAUCCAUAAAAACAGUGCCAAGUGUAAAUUAUCCUCUGCUGCAUGUUAGCCAUCAACAAGAAUGAACAAAGUGUGUGCCAGUUUAUGGGCGUCAUCAGGCCAGAAGGUCUUAUCCACGCUGAAGCCAGCCACGCCUGUCUUCCAUCUAGAUUCCAGAUGCUGCUGAUCACUUUCGCAAAGUGGCUACUACUUAACUGUUUGACUGAGCUUGAGUCAAUGCUGGAUUGUUCAGUUACUGAAAACUUGGAGAGGAGUGUGUCAUGGGAUUGGAGCAUUUGUAAAUAUCAAGUGUUGGAGCUUUUUGCCUGUCACACCACGGACCACAAGCACGGAGCAGGAGUUGGGAGCACGUUCACGGAAACCACUUCUUUGAAAGCUGUUUCACGAUUGUUUACAUGUCUCACUGUAAAUAAAACGCACUGUCUUUGAUUGGAAAGUCCUGCAUUUGGGUCCCGUUCUUGCCACGCACCUUGACAUAAAUAAUAAA